UGCCCAUGUGCCCGGGAUAACUUCUGGAAACGGAUGCUAAAACCGGAUAGGUAGCAGACAAGCAUUUGACUGCUAUUAAAGUGGCUUUGGCCAUGAACAUGGAUGGACCUGCGGUGCAUUAGCUGGUUGGUGAGGUAACGGCCCACCAAGGCGACGAUGCAUAGCCGGCCUGAGAGGGCGGACGGCCACAUUGGGACUGAGACACGGCCCAAACUCCUACGGGAGGCAGCAGUAGGGAAUUUUCGUCAAUGGGGGGAACCCUGAACGAGCAAUGCCGCGUGAGUGAGGAAGGUCUUCGGAUCGUAAAGCUCUGUUGUAAGAGAAAAACGGUACUCAUAGGGAAUGAUGAGUGAGUGAUGGUAUCUUACCAGAAAGUCACGGCUAACUACGUGCCAGCAGCCGCGGUAAUACGUAGGUGGCGAGCGUUAUCCGGAAUGAUUGGGCGUAAAGGGUGCGUAGGUGGCAGAUCAAGUCUGGAGUAAAAGGUAUGGGCUCAACCCGUACGGCUCUGGAAACUGAUCAGCUAGAGAACAGAAGAGGACGGCGGAACUCCAUGUGUAGCGGUAAAAUGCGUAGAUAUAUGGAAGAACACCGGUGGCGAAGGCGGCCGUCUGGUCUGGAUUCUGACACUGAAGCACGAAAGCGUGGGGAGCAAAUAGGAUUAGAUACCCUAGUAGUCCACGCCGUAAACGAUGAGAACUAGGUGUUGGGGGAAUAACUCAGUGCCGCAG
rnacentral:rRNA from 1 species